GUAGGGAAUAUUGCACAAUGGGGGAAACCCUGAUGCAGCGACGCCGCGUGAGUGAUGAAGGCCUUCGGGUCGUAAAGCUCUGUCGUAUGGGACUAACACAAUGAAGGUACCAUGCAAGAAAGGAUCGGCUAACUUCGUGCCAGCAGCCGCGGUAAGACGAGGGAUCCUAGCGUUGUUCGGAAUCAUUGGGCGUAAAGCGGGUGUAGGCGGAUUUAUAAGUCAGGUGUGAAAUCCCAGGGCUCAACCCUGGAAGUGCACUUGAUACUGUAAAUCUUGAGUGUGGUAGAGGUUACUGGAAUUGUUGGUGUAGUGGUGAAAUACGUAGAUAUCAACAGGAAUACCGGAGGCGAAGGCGAGUAACUGGGCCAACACUGACGCUGAGACCCGAAAGCGUGGGGAUCAAACAGGAUUAGAUACCCCAGUAGUCC
rnacentral:rRNA from 1 species